rnacentral:misc_RNA from 1 species
CCGAGUUCAGUACUCACCAAACCCACUGUGAACAUACCUCUGUUGCCUCGGCGGGAUUGCCCCGGUGCUCCGCGCGCCGGACCAAGGCCCCCGCCGCAGGACCCAAACUCUUGUUUUUAUUAAUGUUUCUUCUGAGUGGCCUUUUGGCAAUAAAUAAGUUA